rnacentral:rRNA from 1 species
AACGAACGCUGGCGGCAUGCCUAACACAUGCAAGUCGAACGAGACCUUCGGGUCUAGUGGCGCACGGGUGCGUAACGCGUGGGAACCUGCCUUUAGGUUCGGAAUAACAGUGAGAAAUUACUGCUAAUACCGGAUGAUGUCUUCGGACCAAAGAUUUAUCGCCUUUAGAUGGGCCCGCGUUGGAUUAGCUAGUUGGUGGGGUAAAGGCCUACCAAGCCGACGAUCUGUAGCUGGUCUGAGAGGACGAUCAGCCACACUGGGACUGAGACACGGCCCAGACUCCUACGGGAGGCAGCAGUGGGGAAUUUUGGACAAUGGGGGCAACCCUGAUCCAGCAAUGCCGCGUGAGUGAAGAAGGCCUCGGUUGUAAGCUCUUUGUCUAGGGAAGGAACAAGCAGCUCUAACACAGUCUGCGAAUGACGGU